AGGCAGGGAGGAACGCCAGACUUAAAUCCAGGGUCUGACAUCCAUGGAAAGAAAAAGGAUCGGGUGAGAAGAGUCUCAGACUGUGGCAGUGUUUUAAGGAGGUUUUAUCCAAGCUGAAAGGGAGAUCUGGAGCCAAAGCUGACCAUCAGAGAAGUCCCUGUCUCUGCAGCCUGCACCUCUGCUAGUACCCCACCAUGCAACCUGAGGAAGGUGUGGGCUGAGCAGGNNNNNNNNNNNNNNNNNNNNUGGCAGAUGUAGUGCAGGUUUCCAAGGCUCCCAGAGAGGUGGUAAGGUCUGGCUUAUGGGGUACGCCACUGCUGGUCUGAAGUCUUCUCUCUAUUGGACUGUUUGAUAACAACUGAAUCAGUUAUAUAUAUGUAUAAUCUUUCCAGAUUCUUUUUCAUUAUAGGCUAUUACAGGAUUUUGAAUAUAGUUCCCUGCUGUAUAUAGUAGGAACUUGUUGUUUAUUUAUUUUAUAUAUAGUAGUGUUCAUCAUUAAUCCCAUGCUCCUAAUUUAUUCCUCCCUCACUUUCCCCUUUGGUAACUGUAAGUUUGUUUUGUAUAAAAUGCAAGCCGUUUUAGAGCUCAACUUAUCUCCAAGAUCUUGGAUGGGUCACAUGGAGGCUUAGGCAUUGAUGAGGAAAAGCAAGCAGUGAAUGCCAAAAGAACAUAUAUAAAUUAAACAAAGGAAAUGAUACAAACAGCCUUUUUAAAAGAGGAAAUUAUAGAAAUGCAAUGAACAUAUGAGACAUCUUUAAAUUUGUAAAACAAUUUCUUUUUCUGUUCAGUUAUAUAAGGAGUUAGAAUCAGAUUUUAUGACAUUAAUAGAUAGCCAGACUUUUCUGCUUUUGAAGCUUCAUAUUUUUUUGUUAUAAUUGCGCUAAUUCUGAUUUUAAAUGAAUCAACUGGCAAGUUAAAAUAUAUUGGAGAAAUGUUCAUGAUAUAGCCUCCCCUCCCAAAUAUUUACGUGGUAUUUCUGUGUUAUGUUAUUAGAAUCAGCAUCCUCCCAGAAACAGAAAUUUACUAUGAGUUAGGGUUUUUAUGCCACCGAAUAGAAACUCCCUCUGGAUAUUCAAGAUCAGCAAAGAGGAUGCUUCUAUUUCUAUUUUUAGUUUAUUCUUGUGUCCAUAUGAAAUUGCAAGGACACUUAAAAGAUUUCAAAGGCAGAAGUAAGAAAAGUUAAAAUAAUGGUAAUCUCUCUAAAGCUGUGAAUAAAAAGCACUCAUUCUGCAUAUUGCUUAUCCACCCCAAAGGCAAUAGUUUGCAUCUAUUAACCCCAAAUUCCCAGUUCAUCCCACUCCCUCCCCCUUCCCCUUGGCAACCACAAGUCUAUUCUCCAUGUCCAUGGUUUUGUUUUCUGUGGAAAGGUUCAUUUGUGCCAUAUAUUAAAUUCCAGAUAUAAGUGAUAUCAUAUGGUAUUUGUCUUUCCCUUUCUGACUUACUUCACUUAUUAUGAGUCUCCAGUUCCAUCUAUGAUGCUGCAAAUGGCAUUAUUUUUUUGUGGCUGAGUAGUAUUCCAUUGUGUAUAUACACCACAUCUUCUUAAUCCAUUCAUCCAUCGAUGGACAUUUAGGUUGUUAGAACUUAUUUUGAAGUAUGGCAUUUUCAGGUUUGCUUUAUUUUUUAAUGUCUUUAUUAAACAAGAAGUGAUCUCAUCCUUCAAAUUAUUCCUUUCUGUCUAUGGAUAUAUAAUCACUGCUAAUAAGUUAUUUUUCUGGAGACGACAUGUUCAAAUUUACAUAUGUGUUGUGAUAAUUGUAAAUCCAUGUUACAUAUUAGGUGAACAUGCAUGAACAUGGAAGAGCAGCUAUCAUAUGUCUACUAAGUAUUUAGAUAUUUGCAUUUAUGUACACUAUGUUCCAUUCUCUGCCCUACAUUCUGUAUAUACUUAACUUAAUUUACUCUUUACAACAACAUUUUCUGUAUGUGUGAUUACCUCCAUUUAAUAGAUGAAAAAACUGGGGCUGAGGUAAGUUAAAUAACUUGCUGGGAUUACACGCCUAGAUUGUGACAGAGCCUCUCUUAAAAAAGUCUUUCUAACCAGGUUGUAUUCCUUUCACUAGGCCAAAAAAUGUAGAUAGUAUUCAAAAGAACCAUACAAGGAAAUAAAAUUAUGAGAAUUCUAAAAAGCGGUUCCGAUAACCAAAAAUAAAUUCCCUUAAAACAUCUGACUUUCAACUUCCUAUGUUUCAUAAAAGCUUUCUCUUUUCCUAUUUAUUUGCCCUUCUUUCUAGUGAUCUUAAAUAUCUUUUUCCUGUCACUGUGGGGAUAUUAGAGCAGCUGACAUAGACAACAGAAUAACAGGAUCUAAGGGUGAUUAGGUCCUCAUCCAUGAAAGACAAGUUCAGGGAGAAAAAGGCCUGAUAAAAAUGAAUUUCACACAUGAUGGGGAAAUCUUAACAGCUGUCAGAAUGGUAAAAGGGAUGGCUGGGGUGGAAAUGGGGAGUUGAAAAAAUUCUAUUUAUGUGUAUAUCCACACAUCAAAUUAUUUACAUUUUUGUCUUUAUUGGCUGGGCCACCGGGAAAAAAAUGAGACUGGUUGUGCUCUAUCAGUUUUGUUGCCAUUUCUGAGUAGGUGGACUCACAAACAGGAAGAUACAACCCCUUCAAGGUCUACAGUUUCUUGUCAGUAACAUGCUGGUUUUUAAUAUGUUCUCUUACGAGUGAAUUAUUAUGGUUCAAAAAAUGAAAUUGAAUGACAUCCUGUUAAGAGUUAAUGUGAAAGGACCCUAUCAGUGAGUCUGAAAGCUGAAGAAUAAAGUUGAACACGAGAGAUGAGACCAGAGAUGAUGGUGUGCUAGAGUUGGCAAGGAUUUUACUAAAUAAUUGUCUAGAUGUAGAUGGCGGGGGAGAGUGGUGGGAUGGGUCAGGGGUCUCUGUGGUCCUGCUGUCCCCUACAUUCUGCCCAUUGCAUUGGGAGACCCAGGGAAUGUUGCCUAGCCUUUUUGGUUGCAAUUUCUAAAUCUAACAUGGGGUGAAUCUUAGUUAUUGUGGUAAUCCAAUGAGCUACUUUAAUUCUUAAGACAAUGCCGGGAACAUAAUAACUGCUGAAUAAAUAUUAGCCUUUUUCACUAAGAUCAGGAGGAAGUAGUUCAGAACAAAAACAGGCCCUUGUCAUACCCUGAGAAAUUAAUAGGUGGGGAGAGCCUUUCUGUAGAGCUACUGAAUUUGCCCAGUCUUGUUUUAUUCUUCUCCCCUUCAGAGUCUUUACCUUGGUUGAAAAUAAAGGGAUCUAAACUGU
rnacentral:lncRNA from 1 species